rnacentral:tRNA from 1 species
GUCCCUGUAGCUUAAACCAAAGCAUGGCACUGAAGAUGCCAAGAUGGACCCUUUUUCCCAAGGACAAAAGACUUAGUCCUAACCUUACCGUUAAUUCUCGCUCAACAUAUACAUGCAAGUAUCCGCACCCCAGUGCAAACGCCCUAAAGCCCCCACCAAGGCACUAGGAGCAGGCAUCAGGCACACCUCUGUAGCCCAAGACGCCACGCGACGCCACACCCCCACGGGUACUCAGCAGUAAUUAACAUUAAGCAAUGGGCGUAAGCCCGACUUAGCUAGAGCGACCAGGGUUGGUAAAUCUUGUGCCAGCCACCGCGGUCAUACAAGAAACCCAAAUUAACCGUACACGGCGUAAAGAGUGGCCCCAGACUAUUAAAGUAGAUUAAGAUCAAACCUCAACCUAAGCCGUCACAAGCCCAAGGUCCUCCAAAGCCCAACCUAAAAACGAUCUUAACACCAACGACCCAUCCCACCCCACGAAAGCCAGGGCACAAACUGGGAUUAGAUACCCCACUAUGCCUGGCCCUAAAUCUUGAUGCUUCCCAGACACAAACAUCCGCCCGAGAACUACGAGCACAAACGCUUAAAACUCUAAGGACUUGGCGGUGCCCUAAACCCACCUAGAGGAGCCUGUUCUAUAAUCGAUAACCCACGAUCCACCCGACCACUUCUUGCCAAAACAGCCUACAUACCGCCGUCCCCAGCCCACCUCUGUGAGAGCACAACAGUGAGCCCAACAGCCCCCACUCCGCUAAUAAGACAGGUCAAGGUAUAGCCCACGAAGUGGAAGAAAUGGGCUACAUUUUCUAAAAUAGAACACCCAACGAAAAGGGGCCUGAAACCUGCCCCAAGAAGGCGGAUUUAGCAGUAAAGCGGGACAAUCAAGCCCCCUUUAAGCCGGUCCUAGGGCACGUACAUACCGCCCGUCACCCUCCUCACAAGCCCCUACAAACCCACUAACUAAUAAAACUAAUAGCCAAAGAAGAGGUAAGUCGUAACAAGGUAAGUGUACCGGAAGGUGCACUUAGCAUAUCAAGACGUAGCUACAACCCAAAGCAUUCAGCUUACACCUGAAAGAUAUCUGUCACCUAUCAGAUCGUCUUGAUAAGCCUACCCUAGCUCCACCAACCACAAUCAAGAACCCACCACCACACUCAACCCAAAACAUUAUCACCUAGCCCAGUAUAGGCGAUAGAAAAGCAACCCGGACGCCAUAGAAAAAGUACCGUAAGGGAAAGAUGAAAUAACAAUGAAAACCAAGCACCACAUAGCAAAGAUAAACCCUUGUACCUCUUGCAUCAUGAUUUAGCAAGAACAAUCAGGCAAAGUGAGCUUAAGCCUGCCACCCCGAAACCUAAGCGAGCUACUAACAGGCAGCUACCCCGAGCUAACCCGUCUCUGUUGCAAAAGAGUGGGACGACUUGUUAGUAGAGGUGAAAAGCCAACCGAGCUGGGUGAUAGCUGGUUACCUGUAAAACGAAUCUAAGUUCUCCCUCAGCCCCUUCCCCAAGACAAACCAACCAAGUCCCCAUGCAAUGGGCUAAGAGCUAUUUAAAGGGGGUACAGCCCCUUUAAAAAAGGAUACAACCUCCACCAGUGGAUAACCCCACCCCAACCCAACCCCCGUGGGCCUUAAAGCAGCCACCCUUAAAGAACGCGUCAAAGCUCUACGGACUAAAAAAUCCAAAAACAACGUAAAUCCCUGAACCCAUAACAGGUCAACCUACAACAGUAGAUGAAUCAAUGCUAAAACGAGUAACCAGGGCACCAAGCCCCCUAAAGCGUCAACCUAAACACCAUUAACAGCACAACUACAAUACCACACCCCCGACCAAACAUUGAACACACCCUGUCAGACCAACCCAGGAGCGCACACUAGGACGAUUAUAAUCUGCAGAAGGAACUCGGCAAACCUAAGACCCGACUGUUUACCAAAAACAUAGCCUUCAGCCAAACAAGUAUUGAAGGUGAUGCCUGCCCAGUGACACACGUUUAACGGCCGCGGUAUCCUAACCGUGCAAAGGUAGCGCAAUCAAUUGUCCCAUAAAUCGAGACCUGUAUGAACGGCUAAACGAGGCCUUAACUGUCUCCUGCAGACAAUCAGUGAAACUGAUCUCUCUGUACAAAAGCAGAGAUAAACACAUAAGACGAGAAGACCCUGUGGAACUUUAAAAUCAAUAGCCACCACAUCCAACCUACAAACCCACCAGGCCCACUACCCAAAAACACUGGCUAAUAUUUUUAGGUUGGGGCGACCUUGGAGAAAAACAAACCCUCCAAAAAUAAGGCCAGACCCCUUAACUAAGAGCAACCCCUCAACGUGCCAACAGCGCCCAGACCCAGUAAAACUGACCAAUGAACCAAGCUACCCCAGGGAUAACAGCGCAAUCUCCCCCAAGAGCCCCUAUCGACGAGGAGGUUUACGACCUCGAUGUUGGAUCAGGACAUCCUAGUGGUGCAGCCGCUACUAAGGGUUCGUUUGUUCAACGAUUAACAGUCCUACGUGAUCUGAGUUCAGACCGGAGCAAUCCAGGUCGGUUUCUAUCUAUGAUUAACCUUUCCCAGUACGAAAGGACCGGAAAGAUAGGGCCAACGCCCCAAGCACGCCCUCUCCCCAAGUGAUGCAUCCAACUAAAUCACUAAAGGACCACCCAUUACCCCAACGAAAAAGGUUGCUAGUGUAGCAGAGCCCGGCAAAUGCAAAAGACUUAAACCCUUUACCCCAGAGGUUCAAAUCCUCUCUCUAGCUCCUACUAUGGUCUGACCAAACAUCCCCCUAAGCUACCCCAUUACAGCACUAACCUACAUAGUCCCCAUUCUAAUCGCCGUAGCCUUCCUAACAUUAACCGAACGAAAAAUCUUAAGCUACAUACAAUCCCGAAAAGGACCAAACAUCGUUGGCCCAUUCGGACUACUACAACCCAUUGCCGACGGCGUCAAACUAUUCAUCAAAGAACCCAUCCGCCCCUCCACAUCCUCACCACUCCUAUUCAUCACAACCCCAAUACUAGCCUUCCUCCUCGCCCUAACAAUCUGAACCCCCCUGCCCCUUCCAUUCCCCCUCGUAGACCUGAACCUAGGCCUCCUCUUCCUUCUAGCAAUAUCCAGCUUGGCGGUCUAUUCAAUCCUAUGAUCAGGCUGGGCAUCAAACUCUAAAUACGCCUUAAUCGGCGCACUACGAGCAGUAUCACAAACCAUCUCCUACGAGGUAACCCUAGCUAUCAUCCUCCUGUCUAUAAUCAUGCUAGCCGGAAACUACACUAUAACCACCCUCACCGUCUCACAAGAACCCAUAUACCUCGCAUUCUCCUCCUGACCUCUCGCAAUAAUAUGAUACAUCUCAACACUGGCCGAAACAAACCGCUCCCCAUUCGACCUUACAGAGGGAGAAUCAGAACUCGUCUCAGGCUUCAAUGUAGAGUACUCCGCAGGACCAUUCGUCCUAUUUUUCCUAGCCGAAUACGCAAAUAUCAUACUAAUAAACACACUAACCGCCCUCCUAUUCCUAAACCCGAGCACACUUAACCCACCCUCAGAACUCUUCCCCCUAAUCCUAGCCACAAAAACCCUCCUCCUCUCCUCAAGCUUCCUAUGGAUCCGAGCCUCCUAUCCACGAUUCCGAUACGACCAACUUAUGCACCUUCUCUGAAAAAACUUCCUUCCAUUAACAUUAUCCCUCCACCUCUGACACACCAGCAUACCCAUCUCUUACGCGGGCCUACCUCCUUACCUAAGGAAAUGUGCCUGAACGUCAAGGGUCACUAUGAUAAAGUGAACAUAGAGGUAUACCAACCCUCUCAUUUCCUAACAAACUUAGAAAAGCAGGAAUCGAACCUACACAGAAGGGAUCAAAGCCCUCCAUACUUCCUCUAUAUUAUUUCCUAGUAAGGUCAGCUAACAAAGCUAUCGGGCCCAUACCCCGAAAAUGAUGGUUCAACCCCUUCCCUCACUAAUAACCCCCACUGCAAAACUAAUCUCAGCCCUAAGUAUCCUGCUAGGAACAACAAUCACAAUCACAAGUAACCACUGAGCCAUAGCUUGAGCAGGACUAGAAAUCAACACCCUAUCAAUCAUCCCUAUAAUCUCAAAAUCCCACCACCCACGAGCCAUUGAAGCUGCAACUAAAUACUUCCUGGUACAAGCAGCCGCCUCAACAUUAAUACUCUUCUCGGGUAUAAUCAACGCAUGGCACGCAGGACAAUGAGACAUCACCCAACUCACCCACCCUCCAGCAUGCCUCCUACUAACCACCGCAAUUGCUACCAAACUGGGACUAACCCCAUUCCACUUUUGAUUUCCAGAAGUACUACAAGGAUCAUCCCUUACCACAGCCCUACUCCUCUCAACAGUUAUAAAACUCCCACCAACCACACUCCUACUCAUCACAUCCCACUCAUUAAACCCCACCCUACUUACCACUAUAUCCAUCAUGUCCAUUAUCCUAGGUGGCUGAAUAGGACUAAACCAAACACAGACCCGAAAAAUUAUAGCCUUCUCAUCCAUCUCCCAUCUGGGCUGAAUAAUAAUCAUCAUCGCCUACAACCCCAAAUUAACUCUACUAACCUUCUAUGCCUACACCCUAAUAACUGCCUCCGUCUUCCUUACCAUAAACACAACUAACAUCUCAAAGCUAUCAACACUAAUAACCUCAUGAACCAAAACCCCCAUGUUAAACACAACCCUCAUGCUAACACUACUAUCACUAGCAGGCCUCCCCCCACUAACAGGCUUCCUACCCAAAUGACUUAUCAUCCAAGAACUCAUCAAGCAAGAAAUAACCACAACAACCACAAUCAUCUCCAUGGCAUCACUCCUAGGACUAUUCUUCUACCUACGCCUGGCGUACUGCUCCACUAUCACACUUCCCCCCAACCCCUCAAGCAAAAUAAAACAGUGAUCCACCAAAAACCCAACCAACACUCUAAUCUCCAUACUCGCUUCCCUAUCUAUCUCACUCCUCCCACUCUCCCCCAUAAUCCUCACCAUCACUUAAGAAACUUAGGAUAAUAUAAACCAAAGGCCUUCAAAGCCUYAAACAAGAGUUAAAGCCUCUUAGUUUCUGCUAAGAUCCGUAGGAUGCUAACCUACAUCUCCUGAAUGCAACCCAGAUACUUUCAUUAAGCUAGGAUCUCCCUAGGCAGGUGGGCUCUGACCCCACGACACUCCUAGUUAACAGCUAGGCGUCCUAAACCAACAGACCUCUGCCUAGAAGACUCUGAUGUGCUCUAAACACAUAUCAAUGAGCUUGCAACUCAACAUGAACUUCACUACAGAGCCGAUAAGAAGGGGAGUUAAACCCCUGUAAAAAGGACUACAGCCUAACGCUUGAACACUCAGCCAUCUUACCUCUUACCUGUGACCACAACCCGAUGACUAUUCUCAACUAACCACAAAGACAUUGGCACCCUUUACCUAAUUUUCGGUGCAUGAGCUGGCAUAAUUGGUACCGCCCUAAGCCUACUCAUCCGCGCAGAACUCGGCCAACCAGGAACUCUCCUCGGAGAUGACCAAAUCUACAAUGUGAUCGUCACGGCCCAUGCCUUUGUAAUAAUCUUCUUCAUAGUAAUACCAAUUAUGAUCGGAGGAUUUGGAAACUGACUAGUCCCCCUUAUAAUUGGCGCCCCCGACAUAGCAUUCCCACGCAUAAACAACAUGAGCUUCUGACUACUUCCCCCAUCCUUCCUCCUCCUACUAGCCUCCUCCACAGUAGAAGCAGGAGCAGGCACAGGGUGGACAGUCUACCCCCCCCUAGCCGGCAACCUAGCCCACGCCGGAGCCUCAGUAGAUCUGGCUAUCUUCUCCCUCCACCUAGCUGGUGUAUCCUCUAUCCUAGGAGCAAUCAACUUUAUCACCACAGCCAUCAACAUAAAACCGCCCGCUCUGUCACAAUACCAAACCCCACUAUUCGUAUGAUCCGUCCUAAUCACAGCCGUACUACUACUACUUGCACUACCAGUCCUAGCCGCCGGAAUUACCAUACUCCUCACAGAUCGUAACCUAAACACAACAUUCUUCGACCCCGCUGGAGGAGGAGACCCAAUCCUAUACCAACACCUAUUCUGAUUCUUCGGACACCCAGAAGUAUACAUCCUCAUCCUGCCAGGAUUUGGAAUUAUCUCACAUGUAGUAGCCUACCACGCAGGUAAAAAAGAACCAUUUGGCUAUAUAGGUAUAGUAUGAGCUAUGUUGUCAAUUGGAUUCCUAGGGUUCAUCGUAUGGGCCCACCACAUAUUCACAGUAGGAAUAGACGUAGACACCCGAGCAUACUUCACAUCUGCCACAAUAAUCAUCGCCAUCCCCACCGGAAUCAAAGUCUUCAGCUGACUUGCCACCCUACACGGAGGAACCAUCAAAUGAGACCCCCCCCUACUAUGAGCUCUUGGAUUUAUCUUCCUAUUCACCAUUGGAGGCCUUACAGGAAUCGUCCUAGCAAACUCUUCAUUAGACAUUGCCCUACACGACACAUACUACGUAGUAGCACACUUCCACUAUGUUCUAUCAAUAGGUGCUGUCUUCGCCAUUCUAGCCGGACUCACCCACUGAUUCCCCCUAUUCACUGGGUACACCUUAAACCAGUCUUGGGCCAAAGCCCACUUCGGAGUUAUAUUUACAGGCGUAAACCUAACCUUCUUCCCCCAACACUUCCUAGGACUAGCGGGCAUACCACGACGAUACUCCGACUACCCAGAUGCCUAUACCCUAUGAAACACCCUAUCAUCCAUUGGCUCACUAAUCUCAAUAACAGCCGUAAUUAUACUAACAUUCAUUAUCUGAGAAGCCUUCGCCUCCAAACGAAAAACACCACAAUCAAGCCUAACUUCUACUAAUAUCGAAUGAAUCCACGGCUGCCCGCCCCCAUACCACACCUUCGAAGAACCCGCCUUUGUCCAAGUACAAGAGAGGAGGGAAUCGAACCCCCAUACACUGGUUUCAAGCCAACCGCAUAUAAAACCACUUAUGCUUCUCUCUUAUGGGGUGUUAGUAAACCAAUUACAUGGCCCUGUCAAAGCCAAACCAUAGGUGAAACCCCUAUACACCCCUACAUGGCCAACCACUCACAACUAGGAUUCCAAGAUGCCUCUUCCCCAAUCAUAGAAGAACUGAUCGAAUUCCACGACCACGCUCUUAUAGUUGCCCUAACCAUUUGUAGCCUCGUCCUUUACUUACUAACACUCAUACUCAUAGAAAAACUAUCAUCAAACACCGUCGACGCACAAGAAGUCGAACUAAUCUGAACAAUCCUACCCGCCAUCGUUCUCAUCUUACUAGCCCUACCAUCCUUACAAAUCCUUUACAUAAUAGACGAAAUCGACGAACCAGACCUAACCCUAAAAGCCAUUGGACAUCAAUGAUACUGAUCCUACGAAUACACAGACUUCAAAGACCUAUCAUUCGAUUCCUACAUAAUCCCCACAACAGAACUCCCAAUAGGGUACUUCCGACUCCUAGAAGUAGACCACCGCGUCAUUAUCCCAAUAGAAUCUCCUAUCCGUAUAAUCAUCACUGCUGAUGAUGUUCUCCACUCAUGAACUGUACCAACACUAGGAGUAAAAACUGACGCCAUCCCCGGACGACUCAAUCAAACAUCAUUUAUCACCACCCGACCAGGAGUCUUCUACGGCCAAUGCUCAGAAAUCUGUGGGGCUAAUCACAGCUUUAUGCCCAUCGUAGUAGAAUCUAUCCCCCUCGCCCACUUCGAGACUUGAUCCUCACUUCUAACACCCUAAUCAUUAAGAAGCUAUGCAUCAGCACUAGCCUUUUAAGCUAGACAAAGAGGAACCCCCCCCUCCUUAAUGAUAUGCCCCAACUCAACCCAAAUCCUUGAUUUAUCAUCAUAGUCAUAUCAUGGUUAACAUUUUCACUACUCCUCCAACCAAAAAUACUAUCAUUCAUCGCCACAAACACCCCCACCAGCAAAGCACCUGCAACCACAAAAAAUAAGCCCUGAACCUGACCAUGACUCUAACCCUCUUUGACCAGUUCUCAAGCCCAUACCUCCUCGGAAUCCCAUUAAUCCUUCUCUCAAUACUACUACCCCCCCUCCUCUUCCCCACACCUAACAACCGAUGAAUCACAAACCGCCUAUCCACACUACAACUUUGACUCAUCAACAUAAUUACUAAACAACUCAUAAUCCCAUUAAACAAACCAGGCCACAAAUGAGCCAUUAUCCUAACGUCCCUAAUAAUACUCCUACUAACAAUCAACCUCCUAGGCCUAUUACCCUACACAUUUACCCCAACCACCCAACUAUCAAUAAAUAUAGCACUUGCCUUCCCACUAUGACUCGCAACCCUGCUCACAGGCCUCCGAAACCAACCCACAACCUCCCUAGGACACCUCCUACCCGAAGGCACACCCACCCCAUUAAUCCCAGCCCUAAUCCUAAUCGAAACCAUCAGCCUAUUCAUCCGCCCAUUGGCCUUAGGUGUCCGCCUUACAGCCAACCUCACCGCAGGACAUCUUCUCAUCCAGCUUAUCUCAACAGCCACCAUUACACUUCUUCCAAUCAUACCCGCAAUAUCCUCCCUUACCGUCAUAAUCCUCUUCCUGCUAACAGUACUAGAACUAGCAGUAGCCAUAAUCCAAGCCUACGUCUUCGUCCUCCUAUUAAGCCUUUACCUACAAGAAAACAUCUAAUGGCCCACCAAGCACACUCAUACCACAUAGUAGACCCCAGCCCAUGGCCUAUCUUCGGAGCAACCGCCGCCCUACUAACCACAUCCGGACUAAUUAUAUGGUUCCACUACAACUCCUCACAACUAUUAACCCUCGGACUAACAUCAAUCAUUCUAGUUAUAAUCCAAUGAUGACGGGACAUCGUACGGGAGGGCACCUUCCAAGGCCACCAUACACCCACAGUCCAAAAAGGCCUACGAUAUGGGAUAAUCCUAUUUAUUACAUCAGAAGUAUUCUUCUUUCUCGGCUUCUUUUGAGCCUUCUUCCACUCGAGCCUAGCACCCACCCCAGAACUAGGAAGCCAAUGACCCCCAACCGGAAUCACCCCCCUAAACCCCCUAGAAGUACCCCUACUAAACACAGCCAUCCUACUAGCUUCAGGCGUUACCGUAACCUGAACACACCACAGUAUCAUCGAAGCAAACCGAAAACAAGCAACCCAAGCACUAGCACUCACCAUCCUCCUAGGCCUAUACUUCACCAUCCUACAAGCAACAGAAUACUACGAAGCACCCUUCUCAAUCGCCGAUGGCGUUUACGGCUCAACCUUCUUCGUCGCCACAGGAUUCCACGGACUUCACGUCAUAAUCGGAUCCUCCUUCCUAAUAGUUUGCCUCUUACGAUUAAUCAAAUUCCACUUUACACCAAACCACCACUUCGGGUUCGAAGCGGCAGCCUGAUACUGACACUUCGUAGACAUCAUCUGACUAUUCCUCUACCUAACCAUCUACUGAUGAGGAUCAUGCUCUUCUAGUAUACUCAUUACAAUAGACUUCCAAUCUUUAAAAUCUGGUACAGCCCAGAGAAGAGUAAUAAACAUAGUCACAUUUACACUCAUCUCAACUCUAAUCCUCAGCACAAUUCUAACCCUACUAAACUUCUGACUUGCCCAAAUAAACCCAGACUCAGAAAAACUGUCACCCUACGAAUGCGGAUUUGACCCACUAGGCUUUGCCCGACUACCAUUCUCCAUCCGAUUCUUCCUCAGUAGCCAUCUUAUUCCUACUAUUCGACCUAGAAAUCGCCCUCCUACUGCCACUGCCAUGAGCCACCCAACUAAAACACCCAACCACCACCCUAAUCUGAACCUCUGUUAUCGUCUUCCUUCUAACCCUAGGCCUAAUCUAUGAAUGAAUGCAAGGAGGACUAGAAUGAGCAGAAUAAGAAAGUUAGUCUAAAAACAAGACAGUUGAUUUCGACUCAACAAACCAUAGUCCACCCUAUGACUUUCUCCAUGCCUCUCCUUCACCUAAGCUUCUAUUCAGCCUUCACCCUAAGCAGCCUAGGACUAGCCUUUCACCGAGCACACUUCAUUUCCGCCCUACUGUGCCUAGAAAGCAUAAUACUAUCAAUAUAUAUCGCCCUAUCAACCUGGCCCAUCGAAAAUCAAACACCAUCCCUCACCCUCAUGCCUAUCUUCAUAUUAGCCUUCUCCGCCUGCGAAGCAGGUACAGGACUAGCAAUACUAGUAGCCUCCACACGAACACACGGCUCCGACCACCUACAAAAUCUAAACCUCUUACAAUGCUAAAAAUUAUCCUUCCAACAAUUAUACUACUCCCAACAACCCUCCUCUCCCCCCCAAAACUUAUGUGGACAAACACCACAAUACACAGCCUAUUCAUUGCCACCCUAAGCCUGCAAUGACUAACACCAUCCUACUACCCAUACAAAAACCUCACCCAAUGAACAGGCAUCGACCAAACAUCCUCCCCCCUACUGGCCCUAUCCUGUUGACUCACACCCCUUAUAAUUCUAGCAAGCCAAAACCACCUACAACACGAACCACCCACACGAAAACGAAUCUUCAUAGCAACCCUAAUUAUAGUACAACCCCUUAUCAUCAUAGCCUUCUCAACUACAGAACUCACAACAUUCUACAUCUCAUUUGAAGCAACCCUAAUCCCCACACUAAUCUUAAUCACACGAUGAGGGAACCAACCAGAACGCUUAAGCGCCGGCAUCUACUUCCUCUUUUACACACUCGUUAGCUCUCUCCCCCUAUUAAUUGCAAUCCUACAUCUAAACUCACAAACAGGCACCCUCUACUUCCCCACUUUAAAACUCCACCCCUACCCCACACCACUUACACCAACCGAAUACUGAUCCACCUUACUACUAAACCUUGCCCUUCUCAUAGCCUUCAUAGUAAAAGCACCCCUAUACGGGCUCCAUCUGUGACUCCCCAAAGCCCACGUAGAAGCCCCAAUUGCAGGGUCCAUACUCCUUGCUGCCCUCCUCCUUAAACUAGGCGGAUAUGGUAUCAUACGCAUUACCUGCUUAACAAAUCCACCCACAAACAACCUCCUCCACUACCCAUUCAUUACCCUCGCCUUAUGAGGUGCACUAAUAACUAGCUCAGUGUGUCUACGCCAAAUUGACCUAAAAUCACUCAUCGCCUACUCCUCUGUAAGCCACAUAGGACUAGUCAUUGCCGCAUGCAUGAUCCAAACCCACUGAUCCUUCUCAGGAGCCAUAAUCCUCAUAAUCUCCCACGGCCUAACCUCAUCCAUACUAUUCUGCCUAGCCAACACAAACUAUGAACGCACACAUAGCCGAAUCCUCCUACUAACCCAAGGAUUACAACCCCUCCUCCCACUAAUAGCCACUUGAUGAUUACUAGCUAACCUAACAAACAUAGCCCUACCCCCAACCACAAACUUAAUAGCAGAACUAAGCAUUAUAGUUGCACUAUUCAACUGAUCCACCCCAACAAUCUUCCUAACUGGAGCCGCCACCCUACUAACCGCCUCCUACACACUAUUUAUACUCACAUCAACUCAACGAGGAACCCUGCCCCCCCACAUCACAACACUCCAAAACUCAACCACACGAGAACACUUACUUAUAGUCCUCCACCUCCUCCCCAUACUCCUCCUAAUCCUAAAACCUGAAUUAAUCUCCGGACCCCUCUCAUGCAAGUAUAGUUUAAACCAAACAUUAGACCGUGACCCUAAAAAUAGAAGUUAGACCCUUCUUACCUGCCGAGGGGAGGUUCAACCAACAAGAACUGCUAACUCUUGUAUCUGAGUCUAAAACCUCAGCCCCCUUACUUUUAAAGGAUAACAGCAAUCCACUGGUCUUAGGAGCCACCCAUCUUGGUGCAAAUCCAAGUAAAAGUAGUGGAAACAACUCUACUCCUUAACACCCUCAUACUACUUACACUAGCAACUAUCCUAACACCCACAUUCCUCCCCCUUCUCCUAAAAAACUUCAAAAACUCUCCCAAAACCAUCACCACGACCAUCAAGACCGCCUUCCUAAUCAGCCUAGCACCAAUAACAAUCUUCAUAAACUCAGGAUUAGAAAGCAUUACCUCACAUUGAGAAUGAAAAUUCAUCAUAAACUUCAAAAUCCCACUCAGCUUUAAAAUAGACCAAUACUCAAUAUUAUUCUUUCCCAUCGCACUAUUCGUGACAUGGUCGAUCCUACAAUUCUCAACAUCCUACAUAGCAUCAGACCCGCACACCACAAAAUUCUUUUCCUACUUAACGACAUUUCUAGUUGCAAUACUCAUACUAACCCUUGCCAACAAUAUCUUUCUACUUUUCGUCGGUUGGGAGGGGGUAGGAAUCAUAUCCUUCUUACUCAUCAGCUGAUGAUAUGGGCGAACAGAGGCCAAUACAGCAGCCCUACAGGCCGUACUCUACAACCGAGUCGGAGACAUUGGCCUUAUCCUAAGCAUAGCAUGACUCGCCUCCACCAUAAACUCCUGAGAAAUGCAACAAAUAUUCUCACCCACAAAAACCCCAACACUCCCCCUACUGGGCCUCAUCCUAGCCGCCACAGGAAAAUCAGCCCAAUUUGGCCUCCACCCUUGACUGCCAGCCGCCAUAGAAGGUCCCACCCCAGUCUCCGCCCUACUACACUCAAGCACAAUAGUAGUAGCCGGAAUCUUCCUACUAAUCCGCACCCACCCUCUAUUGGCCAGCAACAAAACCGCCCUCACCCUAUGCCUCUGCCUAGGGGCCACAUCCACACUAUUCGCUGCUAUCUGUGCCCUCACACAAAAUGAUAUCAAAAAGAUCAUUGCUUUCUCCACAUCCAGCCAACUAGGGCUAAUAAUGGUCACCAUCGGACUAAACCUCCCCCAACUAGCCUUCCUUCACAUUUCAACUCACGCCUUCUUCAAGGCUAUACUAUUCCUAUGCUCCGGAUCAAUUAUCCAUAGCCUAAACGGAGAACAAGACAUUCGAAAAAUAGGAGGCCUGCAAAAUGCACUCCCAACAACCACUUCCUGCCUGACCAUCGGAAAUCUAGCACUAAUAGGCACACCCUUUCUAGCAGGAUUUUUCUCAAAAGAUCUCAUCAUCGAAAACCUAAACACCUCUAACUUAAACACCUGAGCACUAACCUUAACCCUACUAGCCACAACCUUCACUGCCACAUACAGCCUUCGAAUAACCCUCCUGGUACAAGCAAAAUCCACCCGAACAUCAACAACCACCCCAAUAAACGAAAAUAACCCACAAAUCACCAACCCAAUCACCCGCUUAGCCUUGGGGAGCAUCACAGCCGGCCUACUAAUCACAUCAUACAUAACCCCAACACAAACCCCACCAAUAACAAUACCCCUACCAACAAAAACCGCAGCUAUCACAGUUACAAUCUUAGGAAUCAUCCUAGCCAUAGAACUCAUAUCCACCACCCACAUCAUAACCCAACCCAAACAAAACAACUACUCAAACUUCUCCCACACAUUAGGAUACUUCAACCCCCUAACCCACCGCCUAAGCUCUACAGCCCUACUAAGCACAGGACAAGAAAUCGCCAACCACCUAAUUGACCUGUCCUGAUACAAAAAAAUUGGACCAGAAGGACUCGCCAACCUACAAACCACAGCAACCAAAAUCUCCACUACACUACACAAAGGGCUAAUCAAAGCCUACUUAGGAUCAUUCGCACUAUCCAUCCUAAUCACUCUAUCAAUACUAACCCAAUUCUAAUGGCCCACAACCUACGAAAAUCGCACCCCCUACUAAAAAUGGUAAACAGCUCUCUAAUUGACCUGCCAACACCCCCAAACAUCUCCGCCUGAUGGAACUUCGGAUCUCUCCUAGGAGUUUGCUUAGUAACACAAAUCCUAACAGGCUUACUCCUAGCCGCCCACUACACCGCAGACACCUCUCUAGCUUUCUCAUCCGUGGCUAACACAUGCCGAAACGUACAGUACGGCUGACUAAUCCGUAACCUUCACGCAAAUGGAGCAUCACUCUUCUUCAUCUGCAUCUAUCUCCAUAUUGCCCGAGGCUUCUACUAUGGAUCAUACCUGUACAAAGAAACCUGAAACACAGGAAUCAUCCUUCUCCUCACCCUUAUAGCAACAGCCUUCGUAGGGUACGUCUUGCCAUGAGGCCAAAUAUCAUUCUGAGGGGCCACAGUUAUCACAAACCUAUUCUCUGCUGUCCCCUACAUCGGACAAACCCUGGUAGAAUGAGCCUGAGGUGGAUUCUCCGUAGACAACCCCACCUUAACCCGAUUCUUCGCCUUACACUUCCUCCUCCCAUUCAUGAUCACCAGCCUAGUCCUCAUCCACCUAACCUUCCUACACGAGUCAGGAUCAAAUAACCCCCUAGGCAUUUCAUCAAACUGCGACAAAAUCCCAUUCCACCCCUACUUCUCCCUAAAAGAUCUACUAGGAUUCAUAAUCAUGUUCUUCUCACUCUCCACCCUCGCCCUAUUCUCCCCCAACCUCCUAGGAGACCCUGAAAACUUUACCCCAGCAAACCCCCUAGUAACCCCCCCACAUAUCAAACCAGAAUGAUACUUCCUAUUCGCAUAUGCAAUCCUACGCUCAAUCCCCAACAAACUAGGAGGGGUCCUAGCCCUAGCCGCCUCCGUACUAGUUCUAACCCUAAGCCCUCUCCUCCACAAAUCCAAACAACGAACCAUAGCCUUCCGCCCUAUCUCCCAGCUCUUAUUCUGAGCCUUAGCCGCCAAUCUAUUUAUCCUAACAUGAGUAGGAAGUCAACCAGUAGAGCACCCAUUCAUUACCAUCGGACAAUUGGCCUCAUUAUCCUACUUCUCCAUCAUCCUAAUCCUAAUCCCCAUCACCUCCUCCUUAGAAAAUAAAAUCCUAAACUAAACUCUAGUAGUUUACAACAAAACAUUGGUCUUGUAAACCAAAAGACGAAGGUUAUCCCCUCCUAGAGUUUCCACUCAAAGACCACCCAACACAACACCAAAACACAAAAUAGGCCAUAAGCUUUUUAGAGUCGAAUCUAUCCAAAGCUUAUGGCCUAAAAACCGCCCUUAGUACGUCAACCAUAAUAGGAGCUCCCCAUAGAGGUAGCCCCCCCUACCCCCCCACUAGUUGUGGGCGGUAUAUUUACGCUAUGUAAUUCGAGCAUUAAUAACAUUCAGGUACAUUAUACUAAUCUAUCAAGGACUAUAUAUUCAUGUUAUACCACAUAGAUGUAUACUAGGACAUUAAUUGGAACAGCUCGGUUUCGCUUCAUGGACUAAGGCCUUCAUGUUCAUAGACUGCUGAUUAAAUGGCUACAGGAUAUGCUCUUGGCACUCUUUAAUAACUAUGUUCUAGGAUACGGCAGUGCUCCAGUACAAAAGAUUAAUGCUCUCUGCCUAGAUAAUGUUACUUUUUACUCUAACUGUCCUAACACACGGAUGUGCUUUAGUACAAGAACUUAUCGGUCACAGCCCACGAAUGGACUAACAAUGUCUUGUCCUGAAAGGCUAGUUUCAGGGGCCAGGUUAUUUAUUGGUCGGGCAUCUCACGUGAAAUCAUCAACCCGGUGUACGUAAGGUCCGUCGUUCCUAGCUUCAGGUCCAUUCUUUCCCCCUACACCCUAGCCCAACUUGCGCUUUUGCGCCUCUGGUUCCUCGGUCAGGCACAUGAAUCGGUUCACUCACCCCACGGUGCCCUUCACUGAGUCAUCUGGUUCGCUAUUUGAGUACUCACUGCCUCGUAAUCGCGACAUUUUAAUGGAGUAGUUCGGUUGGUUCUCUUUUUUUGGGCAAUCUCACUCUACACCUCCAGUGCGGCGGGUACACAAUUGGUUGACAUGGACAUACAAUCCAUAGCGAACCCUUUUUUGGCCUUCAAGGAUGAAUUAAUGAUACGGUUUCGGGUGUAAGCCGGGCGUUCAUUUUAACACUGAUGCACUUGUAAUUACAUUUGGUUAUGGUAUAUCCACGGUGUCGUCUCUCGUGUUGCCACUGAAUUAACGGUUAUUGGGCACUGUCUCUUAUCCUCGUGUAUUCGGCUGGAAUCUCAUGGAUUACUCAAUGAGACGGUUGAAGUAUAUUCAGUAUCACCGUAGCCCUGAUGCACUUUGUUUUACAUCUGAUACCUCCACCCAUUCCUUAACUAUGAGGCUAUUUAGUUAAUGCUUGCUGGACAUAAAUCUUCAUUUUUUCUUCAUUUUUGUCACUACCACCUAAAUCUCCAAUAAUUUUAAAAAGAAGCAGGAAAAUUUCCAUUAAAUUGUUUCCCACUUAACAGACAAAACAAACAAACCACAAACAAACAAACCUUACCGCCUAUUUUAUCAAUUGUCACGAAACAACGUUCCACUUAAAAACAUUCACCACUCCUCCCCAAACGUCCAUUCUUUGUUUUGUUUGUUUGUUUGUUUGUUUGUUUGUUUUGUCACUUUAUUACUUUGUCACUUUGUUACUUUGUYACUUUGUUACUUUGUUACUUUGUUACUUUGUUACUUUGUUACUUUAUUGCCUUAUCCCGAUUUACUUCGCCCACUCAACCCACUAGCUUCUCCACACCCAUUAUCCCCCCUCAACAGGAACCCCCCUCAGAAAAAGAGGACUAAACCUCCAUCACCAACUCCCAAAGCUGGCAUUUUACAUUAAACUAUUUUCUGACCUAACCGCCCGAAUAGUCCCACGAGACAAACCACGUACAAGCUCUAGCACAACAAAAAGAGUCAACAACAAACCUCAACCAGCCACCAAAAACAUCCCCACCCCGUAGGAAUAAAACAAAGCCACCCCAUUAAAAUCCAACCGACCAAAAAACAUCCCCAUGUUAUCAACAACCCCCGCCCCAAGCCCUCCACCCCCCCAUCCCCAAACAACAAGUCCCACACCAACAACAAACACAAGACCUAAAACACACCCUACAGUGUACCAACCCCCCCAAACCUGGGGAAAGGGGUCAGCUGCCAACGAGACAGAAUACACAAAAACCACCAACAUCCCACCCAGAUAAACCAUAAAAAGCACCAAUGACACAAAAGAAACCCCCAAACUUAUUAACCACCCGCACCCCACAACAGACCCAAACACUAGCCCCACUACACCAUAAUACGGAGAAGGAUUAGAUGCAACCAACAAGGCCGCUAAGACAAAACCAACCCCUAAAAACAACACAAAAUAGGUCAUAAGUUCUUACUUGGGUUUACCCAAGGCUUAUGGCCUGAAAAACCAUCGUUGAUAUCUCAACUAUAAGAACCCCCCCCAUAGAGGUAGCCCCCCCUACCCCCCCACUAGUUGUGGGCGGUAUAUUUACGCUAUGUAAUUCGAGCAUUAAUAACAUUCAGGUACAUUAUACUAAUCUAUCAAGGACUAUAUAUUCAUGUUAUACCACAUAGAUGUAUACUAGGACAUUAAUUGGAACAGCUCGGUUUCGCUUCAUGGACUAAGGCCUUCAUGUUCAUAGACUGCUGAUUAAAUGGCUACAGGAUAUGCUCUUGGCACUCUUUAAUAACUAUGUUCUAGGAUACGGCAGUGCUCCAGUACAAAAGAUUAAUGCUCUCUGCCUAGAUAAUGUUACUUUUUACUCUAACUGUCCUAACACACGGAUGUGCUUUAGUACAAGAACUUAUCGGUCACAGCCCACGAAUGGACUAACAAUGUCUUGUCCUGAAAGGCUAGUUUCAGGGGCCAGGUUAUUUAUUGGUCGGGCAUCUCACGUGAAAUCAUCAACCCGGUGUACGUAAGGUCCGUCGUUCCUAGCUUCAGGUCCAUUCUUUCCCCCUACACCCUAGCCCAACUUGCGCUUUUGCGCCUCUGGUUCCUCGGUCAGGCACAUGAAUCGGUUCACUCACCCCACGGUGCCCUUCACUGAGUCAUCUGGUUCGCUAUUUGAGUACUCACUGCCUCGUAAUCGCGACAUUUUAAUGGAGUAGUUCGGUUGGUUCUCUUUUUUUGGGCAAUCUCACUCUACACCUCCAGUGCGGCGGGUACACAAUUGGUUGACAUGGACAUACAAUCCAUAGCGAACCCUUUUUUGGCCUUCAAGGAUGAAUUAAUGAUACGGUUUCGGGUGUAAGCCGGGCGUUCAUUUUAACACUGAUGCACUUGUAAUUACAUUUGGUUAUGGUAUAUCCACGGUGUCGUCUCUCGUGUUGCCACUGAAUUAACGGUUAUUGGGCACUGUCUCUUAUCCUCGUGUAUUCGGCUGGAAUCUCAUGGAUUACUCAAUGAGACGGUUGAAGUAUAUUCAGUAUCACCGUAGCCCUGAUGCACUUUGUUUUACAUCUGAUACCUCCACCCAUUCCUUAACUAUGAGGCUAUUUAGUUAAUGCUUGCUGGACAUAAAUCUUCAUUUUUUCUUCAUUUUUGUCACUACCACCUAAAUCUCCAAUAAUUUUAAAAAGAAGCAGGAAAAUUUCCAUUAAAUUGUUUCCCACUUAACAGACAAAACAAACAAACCACAAACAAACAAACCUUACCGCCUAUUUUAUCAAUUGUCACGAAACAACGUUCCACUUAAAAACAUUCACCACUCCUCCCCAAACGUCCAUUCUUUGUUUUGUUUGUUUGUUUGUUUGUUUGUUUGUUUUGUCACUUUAUUACUUUGUCACUUUGUUAUUUUGUUACUUUGUUACUCACUUAGUCAACCACCCUACCACCUCCUCUGUCACACCCUUCCCCAAUCACCUGGACUACACGACAAACAAAUAAAACAAGUCCU